CACACACAAAAAUAGGGAAAUGAUAGCACUCCAAGGUCUAACAUAGAGUAAAAGAGAAAAAGUAACUUUUAUUCAGGUUGAUGGCGGGUAUAAAAAUGUUGACGUUUCAGUUCAAGAUUCUGAACUUUUUUCAAGACAAUCAUAGAAGCGUACAUAUUACAUUUAUAUAGGGAUACGUUAUUAAGCACCACCCACAUGGGUACUCACCCCCUGAACUCUGGCUUGCUGCACGCGAUUCGCGGCUAGGUUGGACUCCCUGCACUAACUAUGUGCGUUCCAGUGAUCACCAUGGUAGCCAGCUGGAACGCAGUGUCGGGAGCCAGGGCACAUCAGUGUAUCAAGCAGUACUGGGUCAGGUUUUCCCGCAAAUCGCUGACAGCUGCGGGCAGCAAGUCAGAGUUCAGGGGGUGAGUACCCAUGUGGAUGGUGUUUAAUAAUUAAUGUAUCCACUUGAAAAGGGGAGUUUGUCACACUGUCCACUCACUUUCCUUCGUUCCUCAGAGAGACAUGGAAUUCAGACUACAAUUCUGUCACAUCAUUGAGGGCCACAUGCAGGGCCGGACUGGCCCACCGGGAUAUUUCCCGGUGGACCGCGGCACCUGGGGGCCGGCCGCGUUCCUGGCUGGAGCCGCCGGGCCGGGUGGCAGCUUCCCUGGUCCGGCGGCACUCCUCUCACUGCUGUGGCUGAUGGAGGAGGAGCCUGUCUCCUUUACCAUGCUCCCUCGCGGUUCCUGUGCCGGCUUCUCCUCCAUCAGCCACAGCAAUGACAGGAGCUGUCUGGGCCGGCGCGCGAGGGAGCACUCUCCCCGGAGUGCUUC